rnacentral:rRNA from 1 species
GACGAACGCUGGCGGCGUGCUUAACACAUGCAAGUCGAACGGAAAGGCCCUGCUUUUGUGGGGUGCUCGAGUGGCGAACGGGUGAGUAACACGUGAGUAACCUGCCCUUGACUUUGGGAUAACUUCAGGAAACUGGGGCUAAUACCGGAUAGGAGCUCCUGCUUCAUGGUGGGGGUUGGAAAGUUUCGGCGGUUGGGGAUGGACUCGCGGCUUAUCAGCUUGUUGGUGGGGUAGUGGCUUACCAAGGCUUUGACGGGUAGCCGGCCUGAGAGGGUGACCGGCCACAUUGGGACUGAGAUACGGCCCAGACUCAUACGGGAGGCAGCAGUGGGGAAUAUUGCACAAUGGGCGGAAGCAUGAUGCAGCAACGCCGCGUGCGGGAUGACGGCCUUCGGGUUGUAAACCGCUUUCGCCUGUGACGAAGCGUGAGUGACGGUAAUGGGUAAAGAAGCACCGGCUAACUACGUG